rnacentral:rRNA from 1 species
UACAGAGGGUGCAAGCGUUAAUCGGAUUUACUGGGCGUAAAGCGUGCGUAGGCGGUUUGUUAAGUCGGAUGUGAAAGCCCUGGGCUCAACCUAGGAAUUGCAUUCGAUACUGGCAAGCUAGAGAACGGUAGAGGGAGGCGGAACUCCAGGUGUAGCAGUGAAAUGCGUAGAUAUCUGGAAGAACACCGAUGGCGAAGGCAACCUCCUGGGCCUGUUCUGACGCUGAGGCACGAAAGCGUGGGGAGCAAACAGG